GUAACGGCGAGUGAAGCGGCAACAGCUCAAAUUUGAAAUCUGGCUCUCGGGCCCGAGUUGUAAUUUGUAGAGGAUGCUUUUGGUGAGGUGCCUUCCGAGUUCCCUGGAACGGGACGCCAUAGAGGGUGAGAGCCCCGUCUGGUUGGACACCGAUCCUCUGUAAAGCUCCUUCGACGAGUCGAGUAGUUUGGGAAUGCUGCUCUAAAUGGGAGGUAUAUGUCUUCUAAAGCUAAAUACCGGCCAGAGACCGAUAGCGCACAAGUAGAGUGAUCGAAAGAUGAAAAGAACUUUGAAAAGAGAGUUAAAAAGUACGUGAAAUUGUUGAAAGGGAAGCGCUUGUGACCAGACUUGGGCUUGGUUGAUCAUCCGGGGUUCUCCCCGGUGCACUCUUCCGGCUCAGGCCAGCAUCAGUUCGCCCUGGGGGAUAAAGGCUUCGGGAAUGUGGCUCUCUCCGGGGAGUGUUAUAGCCCGCUGCGUAAUACCCUGUGGCGGACUGAGGUUCGCGCAUUCGCAAGGAUGCUGGCGUAAUGGUCAUCAGUGACCCGUCUUGAAACACGGACCAAGGAGUCGUCUUCGUAUGCGAGUGUUCGGGUGUCAAACCCCUACGCGAAAUGAAAGUGAACGCAGGUGAGAGCUUCGGCGCAUCAUCGACCGAUCCUGAUGUUAUCGGAUGGAUUUGAGUAAGAGCAUACGGGGCCGGACCCGAAAGAAGGUGAACUAUGCCUGUGUAGGGUGAAGCCAGAGGAAACUCUGGUGGAGGCUCGCAGCGGUUCUGACGUGCAAAUCGAUCGUCAAACAUGGGCAUGGGGGCGAAAGACUAAUCGAACCUUCUAGUAGCUGGUUUCCGCCGAAGUUUCCCUCAGGAUAGCAGUGUUGAACUCAGUUUUAUGAGGUAAAGCGAAUGAUUAGGGACUCGGGGGCGCUAUUUAGCCUUCAUCCAUUCUCAAACUUUAAAUAUGUAAGAAGCCCUUGUUGCUUAAUUGAACG
rnacentral:rRNA from 1 species